CCUACGGGAGGCAGCAGUGAGGAAUAUUGGUCAAUGGGCGAGAUACUGAACCAGCCAAGCCGCGUGAGGGAAGAAGGCCCUAUGGGUUGUAAACCUCUUUUGUCGGGGAACAAAACCCGGGACGUGUCCCGGACUGCGUGUAUCUGAAGAAAAAGCAUCGGCUAACUCCGUGCCAGCAGCCGCGGUAAUACGGAGGAUGCGAGCGUUAUCCGGAUUUAUUGGGUUUAAAGGGUGCGUAGGCGGUCAGUUAAGUCAGCGGUAAAAUGGCGGGGCUCAACUCCGUCGAGCCGUUGAAACUGGCAGACUUGAGUUGGCGAGAAGUACGCGGAAUGCGUGGUGUAGCGGUGAAAUGCAUAGAUAUCGCGCAGAACUCCGAUUGCGAAGGCAGCAUACCGGCGCCAGACUGACGCUGAGGCACGAAAGCGUGGGGAUCGAACAGGAUUAGAUACCCGAGUAGUC
rnacentral:rRNA from 1 species